ACGCAAAUACAUUCAUUCCCUCCCACCAGCCUCAAAAUUCUUAACUGCUUUCCACAUCAACUCUAAAUUUUUUUUUAACGUUUAUUUAUUUUUGAGACAGAGAGAGACAGAGCAUGAAUGGGGGAGGGUCAGAGAGAGAGGGAGACACAGAAUCUGAAACAGGCUCCAGGCUCUGAGCUGUCAGCACAGAGCCCAACGUGGGGCUUGAACUCACAGACCAUGAGAUCGUGACCUGAGCCGAAGUCGGAUGCUUAACUGACUGAGCCAUCCAGGUGCCCCUCAGCAUCAACUCUAAAGUAUGAUCGGUCUUAUCUAAAUAUCAUUUAAAUCAGAUAUAGGUGAGACUCACUGAAUAAUUUCUCUUAAGGCAAUAUUCCUCUCUACUAUGAGCCUGUGAAACCACACAAGUUAUGUGUUUCCAAAAUACCAUGGUGAGACAGGCAUGGGAUAGACAUGCCCAUUCCAAAAGGGAGAGAUAAGAACAAAGAAAGGGGUGGCAGGUCCCAAACAAUUCCAGAACCCAGCUAAUUCCAUUAGAACAGAAUGGGGCCCUGAAGGUAAGCUGUGGACAGAGGCUUGUUUGUGACUCACAGAACAAAAUGACUCCUUGGUUAUGAUUCAAAAUACAAGGAAAUCAAUGCAGAAUUACAUCAGAAGCACAUUAUGGGUCAGAACGUUGCAGAUUACAUGCAUUGCCCUCAUGGAAGAAGAUGAAGAUGCUUACAAGAAACAAUUCUGUCAAUAUAUAAAGAACAGUGCAGCUCCAAAUGUAAGAGAGGAAAUGUAUCAGAAAGCUCAGGCUGCUAUACAAGAGAAUCCAGUCUAUGAAAAGAAGCCUAAGAAAGAUGUUAAGAAGGGAAAGUGGAAUCAUCUCAAAAUGCUUCUUGCCGAGAAGAAAGACUGAGUAGCUCAGAAGACCAACUUCCUCCGAGCUCCGGAGUGGGCCUCUAAAAGCUAAAAAACUAAGCUGCAAUUUUCUUUGAAGAUUUUUUCAGGUCUAUAUCCAGGACAUAUUAAGAAGGGACUGAAGUUUGAUGACACAAUACUAUACUCUCCAAGAAGAAACUUCUAAUUAGAAAUCACCCUACGGAAUUCUGUUCCAUCUGUGAAGUCCUAACUACAAGCAAGGCCUCUCCAACAAAGCUUCUGCUCCAGUUACCAGACUCAUUCCAAAAAUAGAAGCACUGUUAUGAAAUGGCCAGACCAUUGGCAAAGCACAGAAAGGACUCCAGCCUCUGUGCCUCGGGGACAGCAACCCUCUUCGACAGCCUUGUUUUGAUGUACAAACACCAGACUGGAAAGUCUCCAUGAAGCAGAGCUGUUUCUACGAUAAUAAAAACUUGGAGGACUUCCCAAAGGCUUCCAUCUGGUGGCAAAGCAGGCUCCUUCUUCAUCUUUGGCUGAGAUCUCAAACCAGUGUCUUUUGGGAAAAUGUCUUGAAAAUAAGCAAUCCACCAAAAUCAUUACCUCUCAGAAUAAGACAAGCCCCUCAACUGGAAUGAUGAAGUGCAGGUGACAACAAAGAACUGGAUGACAUUCUCUAGACUUUAUUUCAUUGGAAUCAAUAGGAAACAAUGGCAGUAAAGGGGAACAUAUUUACCCCACUUCUAGGUUCUGAGGCUGCUACAAGAAGAGUAUGUGAAAGCAUUUUUUAAUGCAUAAAAUGGUACAUAAAUGCAAGCAUCAUUAUUAUGUUAAAGGCUCUGGGGAUCAGAGAGCAGAGGCACAGUAUUCUCAAAGCUUUUCUCACUUCCAGGAAUAACAAAGAUGAUUAAAAGCCUACAGUGUGCCAGAAGGGAGGCAGAGAGAAAGGGAAGGGGAUCGAAUAAGGACAAGACUGAGACCCAGACAAGAAGGAGGGAGUCCGAGGAACAUAUUCCCAGAUCAUUCCAGAGAAGAAGCCCACGUGGUCAAGACACAGUGUUUUACGAUCCAACUUUCACCAACAAAGGCUCUGAUUUUGGGUCAACCUAAUCUAAAAAAGUGUCCUUCCACCCUUAAUAAAACUUAAGUAUUUGGGAGGAGCCAAGAUGGCAGAAAGGCAUGGAAGUUUUUUGUGUGUCUCGCGUCUGUGAAAUACAGCCAGACCAACACUAAACCAUCCUACACACCUAGAAAACUGAUUGGAGGAUUAACACAACAAUUUGCACAACCUGAACCACAGAAUUCAGCAGUUACAGGGAUCUUAAUUUCUGACUUUUGGCCUUUGAAUUUGUCAAGUCAAGCCACUGCCAUGCUUUGGGAAACCAGAAGACGCAUCUUGCUUUCUGCAGGUCUUUUCAGAGCAUCCUACAAACUGCUUGGCAUAUGUUGGCUCAUCUGAUCUGCAUGACAACCCUGAGGAAACCAACUCAGAAAAAUAAAAACUUAUCCAUUUUCUCAGCUUUAGAAAGUAAAGUGACUGAGUUACUGGACACGCUAUGCUUUCGUGCACCUAGAAGGGAGCCAAAUCUACUUGAGAUAAAUUUGGAGCCAAGUAUAUCUGGAAUCAAAUCUCAGACUGAGCAAGAUUCUUGGUAUGGCAUCCAGGAAUCAGCAAGCCUUGCAAGAGACAUCUGUGACAUGUGUCAUGAAUUCACAGCAAUGACAUCUUCAAGGUGGCCCACUGGUGCUUCUCAGUGUUUCCCUAAGUCCAGAGCAGCAUAUCUGCUGAUGGUAGCAGAACACCUGAAGUUCCAAAAUGCCUACAGGGGUGAGCAAGGAAAUAUCACAGAAUACAACAGGAGACUUUCUUGGGUUGCAUGAUCCUGGCAUAUAAAAAAAUAACAAAUAAAAAAAUUGGCAGACCAA